GUAGUCCACGCCGUAAACGAUGAGUGCUAAGUGUUAGGGGGUUUCCGCCCCUUAGUGCUGCAGCUAACGCAUUAAGCACUCCGCCUGGGGAGUACGACCGCAAGGUUGAAACUCAAAGGAAUUGACGGGGGCCCGCACAAGCGGUGGAGCAUGUGGUUUAAUUCGAAGCAACGCGAAGAACCUUACCAGGUCUUGACAUCCCACUGACCGGCUUAGAGAUAGGCUUUUCCCUUCGGGGACAGUGGUGACAGGUGGUGCAUGGUUGUCGUCAGCUCGUGUCGUGAGAUGUUGGGUUAAGUCCCGCAACGAGCGCAACCCUUGAUCUUAGUUGCCAGCAUUCAGUUGGGCACUCUAAGGUGACUGCCGGUGAUAAACCGGA
rnacentral:rRNA from 1 species